rnacentral:rRNA from 1 species
GUUGAACGCUAGCGGCAGGCCUAAUACAUGCAAGUCGAACGGUGUCUUCGGACAUAGUGGCGCACGGGUGCGUAACACGUAUGCAACCUACCUUACAUUGGGGGAUAGCCUUUCGAAAGGGAGAUUAAUACCGCAUAAGACAGUAGCUGGGCAUCCAGCAGCUGUUAAAGAUUUAUCGAUGUAAGCUGGGCAUGCGUCCAAUUAGCUAGUUGGUGAGGUAACGGCUCACCAAGGUAAUGAUUGGUAGGGGAACUGAGAGGUCAAUCCCCCACACUGGCACUGAGAUACGGGCCAGACUCCUACGGGAGGCAGCAGUAGGGAAUAUUGGGCAAUGGACGCAAGUCUGACCCAGCCAUGCCGCGUGCAGGAUGAAGGCGUUAUGCGUUGUAAACUGCUUUUAUACAGGAAGAAACGACUCUUGCGAGAGGCAUUGACGGUACUGUAUGAAUAAGCACCGGCUAACUCCGUGCCAGCCGCCGCAGUAAAAC